rnacentral:lncRNA from 1 species
AAAUAAGAAGGGAGGGGAAGAUAGGAUUGCCAUUUAAAAACUUUCAUUAAAAGGCGGCUGUCCAAAAAACGCAUGAGACUCUCUCUCUCUCGUUCCCAACUUUGCAAACAUCCUUAGCGCUGGCCCUUAUUGGAUUAGUAAAUAGUGUGCCAGGUCAUUACCUUACAUGUGCAAAACAUGUGCAAAUAUAGAGUAUCUUACAAGCCUUAUUAGAAUAGUAUAAAUAGCAUGUUCUCCUCAUAUAUUGCUGUUGUCGAUUGUAUACACAAAACUGUUAAGAGAAAUACAUUGAGAGCUUAAUCAUUUUCUUCUCUGUUCUUCUUCCAUUUUUGCAUUUUCUUGAUUUUCAUUGAAUUCUUCUUACUGUUAAGAUGGUAUCUAGAGCCAGUCUUGCUUGCGCAAUGGAGAUAGGUUAUGCGGUUCGCUGCUCCAAUGGACGAUAAGGUGAU